AUCCAGCUGAUGAGUCCCAAACAGGACGAAACGCUCGUCCUGGAU
rnacentral:hammerhead_ribozyme from 1 species